rnacentral:lncRNA from 1 species
CUGAAAUGAAGUCUGCAUAGCCUGCUUGAGCACCUGAGCCAUCUGAGAAAUUAGUUUAAGCUGGGAUGCUGAACAGUCUUUCCCAGCAAUGUGGCAGCAGGGCUGCUCCAUGCAGGGAGGGAGGCAGAAGCAAGGUGGGCUGUGUCCACACUGACAAGUGUUCAUGCUUUGCUGCUGGUUCAGUCAGAGCCAUCAGUGUGUUACUGGACUUAUGAUGAAAUUUCAAGUAAAGGACAGAAAUGCCAUACUUCUUGCAGUACUGCCUGGAUUCAAGGGCAUGUUGUUUAUUUGUGGGCUUCUGAUACUGUGCUGCUAUCAAGCCUCCUUCAGAUGGGCCUUACUCAUGGAUUGGGGUACACAAGAUGCGAUGCAGUCCUUUUGUGAGGGGAAGUCCAGAGCAAUUUUGUUAUGUUUGAGAAGCAGACUAUCUUUGAGGAGAGCUUCGUUAACCUGAAGAAUGUGCCUACACCAGGAUUUCUCCUGCUAUAUUUUUAGAGAGCUUGGUGUUUAUCUAG